UACGGAGGGUGCGAGCGUUGUUCGGAAUCACUGGGCGUAAAGCGCGUGUAGGCGGCCCGCCAAGUCUGAUGUGAAAGCCCGGGGCUCACCCCCGGAAGUGCAUUGGAAACCGGCGGGCUCGAGUCCCGGAGAGGAGGGUGGAAUUCCUGGUGUAGCGGUGAAAUGCGUAGAUAUCAGGAGGAACACCGGUGGCGAAGGCGGCCCUCUGGACGGUGACUGACGCUGAGGCAUGAAAGCGUGGGGAGCAAAC
rnacentral:rRNA from 1 species